rnacentral:rRNA from 1 species
CCAAUAGCGUAUAUUAAAGUUGUUGCAGUUAAAAAGCUCGUAGUUGAACUUCGGGGUUUACCCAUUGGUCAGGCUUAAUUGUCUGUACUGGUGAGAUGAAUCUCUACCUUCUGAGGAACUUUCAUGCCAUUUAUUUGGUGUGAUGGGAAAUCAGGACUGUUACUUUGAAAAAAUUAGAGUGUUUAAAGCAGGCUAACGUCUGAAUACAUUAGCAUGGAAUAAUGAAAUAGGACGGAUUGAUUCUAUUUCGUUGGCUUCUAGGAUCACCGUAAUGAUUAAUAGGGAUAGUUGGGGGCAUUAGUAUUCAAUUGUCAGAGGUGAAAUUCUUGGAUUUAUUGAAGACUAACUACUGCGAAAGCAUUUGCCAAGGAUGUUUUCAUUAAUCAAGAACGAAAGUUAGGGGAUCGAAGACGAUCAGAUACCGUCGUAGUCUUAACCAUAAACUAUGCCGACUAGGGAUCGGACGAAGUUAAUUUUAUAAUGACGCGUUCGGCACCUUACG